rnacentral:rRNA from 1 species
AUUGAACGCUGGCGGCAGGCCUAACACAUGCAAGUCGAGCGGACGAAGGGAGCUUGUUCCUGGAUUCAGUGGCGGACGGGCGAGUAAGGCCUAGGAAGCUGCCUGGCAGUGGGGGAUAACGUCCGGAAACGGGCGCGAAUCUAGUACGCGGUCUUCUGUUUGAAAAAAAGAAACAAAAGUAAAAGACGGUUUUGCUUUCACUUAUAAAUGGUUCGGCGCUGCAUUGCCUAGUUGGAAAGGAAAGGGCUUACCAAGGAAACGAUGCAAAGCCGACCUUAGAGGGUGAUCGGCCACACUGGAACUGAGACACGGGCCAGACUACUACGGGAGGCAGCAGUAGGGAAUCUUCCGCAAUGGGCGAAAGCCUGACGGAGCAACGCCGCGUGAGUGAUGAAGGUCUUCGGAUCGUAAAACUCUGUUAUUAGGGAAGAACAUAUGUGUAAGUAACUGUGCACAUAUUGACGGUACCUAAUCAGAAAGCCACGGCUAACUACGUG